rnacentral:rRNA from 1 species
UACGUAGGUGGCAAGCGUUGUCCGGAUUUACUGGGCGUAAAGAGCACGCAGGCGGUCGUUCAAGUCGCGUGUGAAAGCCCCCGGCUCAACUGGGGAGGGUCACGCGAUACUGGUCGACUCGAAGGCAGGAGAGGGUAGUGGAAUUCCCGGUGUAGUGGUGAAAUGCGUAGAUACUGGGAGGAACACCAGUGGCGAAGGCGGCUACCUGGACCGUUCUGACGCUGAGUGCGCGAAAGCGUGGGUAGCAAACAGG